UACGAAGGGGGCAAGCGUUGUUCGGAAUCACUGGGCUUAAAGCGUGCGUAGGCGGACUUGCAAGUCAGGAGUGAAAUCCCAGGGCUCAACCUUGGAACUGCUUUUGAAACUGCAAGUCUAGAAACCGGUAGGGGUGAGGAGAAUUCCGAGUGUAGAGGUGAAAUUCGCAGGUAUUCGGAGGAAUACCAGUGGCGUAGGCGCCUCACUGGACCGGUCUUGACGCUGAGGCACGAAAGCGUGGGUAGCAAACAGC
rnacentral:rRNA from 1 species